CGGUCUACUAAAACAUGCAAGUCGAGCGGAUGAAGGGAGCUUGCUCCUGGAUUCAGCGGCGGACGGGUGAGUAAUGCCUAGGAAUCUGCCUGGUAGUGGGGGAUAACGUCCGGAAACGGGCGCUAAUACCGCAUACGUCCUGAGGGAGAAAGUGGGGGAUCUUCGGACCUCACGCUAUCAGAUGAGCCUAGGUCGGAUUAGCUAGUUGGUGGGGUAAAGGCCUACCAAGGCGACGAUCCGUAACUGGUCUGAGAGGAUGAUCAGUCACACUGGAACUGAGACACGGUCCAGACUCCUACGGGAGGCAGCAGUGGGGAAUAUUGGACAAUGGGCGAAAGCCUGAUCCAGCCAUGCCGCGUGUGUGAAGAAGGUCUUCGGAUUGUAAAGCACUUUAAGUUGGGAGGAAGGGCAGUAAGUUAAUACCUUGCUGUUUUGACGUUACCAACAGAAUAAGCACCGGCUAACUUCGUGCCAGCAGCCGCGGUAAUACGAAGGGCAAGCGUUAAUCGGAAUUACUGGGCGUAAAACGCGCG
rnacentral:rRNA from 1 species